ensembl:lncRNA
GGGGUAUGUAGGUGUAUGUAGGUGUAUGUAGGUGUAGGUGUAUGUAGGUGUAUAUAGGUGUAUGUAGGUGUAGGUGUAUAUAGGUGUAUGUAGGUGUGUGUAGGUGUAGGUGUAUGUAGGGGUAUGUAGGUGUAGGUGUAUGUAUGUGUAUGUAGGUGUACGUGUAUGUAGGUGUAUGUAGGUGUAUGUAAGUGUAGGUGUAUGUAGGUGUAUGUAGGUGUAGGUGUAUGUAGGUGUAGGUGUAUGUAGGUGUGGGUGUAUGUAGGUGUAUGUAGGUGUAUGUAGGUGUAGGUGUAUGUAGGUGUAUGUAAGUGUAGUUGUAUGUAGGUGUAGGUGUAUGUAGGUGUAGGUGUAUGUAAGUAUAGGUGUAUGUAGGUGUAGGUGUAUGUAGGUGUAUGUAGGUGUAUGUAGGCGUAGGUGUAUGUAGGUGUAUUUAGGUGUAUGUAGGUAUAUUUAGGUGUAUGUAGGUGUAUGUAGGUGUAUGUAGGUGUUGGUGUA